AACUCCUGGGAGGUAUGGAGGCUAUUAUGACUCCAGAAGAUAGGCCAGAAACAAAGCUAUCAGAAGAUUCACAGUGCAUUUUUGGAAGCAACACAAUGUACACGACAGCAUUUUGUGACAUGAAACACAAAUGGAAGUUAUCGUUAAUAUCACUGUCAUCACCACACAGCUCUGGAAACUUGUCCUUCAGGCCAAUACCUAAGUUGAUAGACAGUGCCAUCUCUUUGAGGAAGCCAAGGAACUCUUCAACUCUGAGAUUAAUUUAGGAGACCAAAGAGAACUAGCAAACAAACAAAACCUGCAGAUAUUUAGAAGACUGAGAG